AUUGAACGCUGGCGGCAGGCCUAACACAUGCAAGUCGAGCGGUAGAGAGGUGCUUGCAUCUCUUGAGAGCGGCGGACGGGUGAGUAAUGCCUAGGAAUCUGCCUAGUGGUGGGGGAUAACGUUCGGAAACGGACGCUAAUACCGCAUACGUCCUACGGGAGAAAGCGGGGGAUCUUCGGACCUCGCGCCAUUAGAUGAGCCUAGGUCGGAUUAGCUAGUUGGUGAGGUAAUGGCUCACCAAGGCGACGAUCCGUAACCGGUCUGAGAGGAUGAUCAGUCACACUGGAACUGAGACACGGUCCAGACUCCUACGGGAGGCAGCAGUGGGGAAUAUUGGACAAUGGGCGAAAGCCUGAUCCAGCCAUGCCGCGUGUGUGAAGAAGGUCUUCGGAUUGUAAAGCACUUUAAGUUGGGUAGGAAGGGUAGUAACCUAAUACGUUGCUACUUUGACGUUACCGACAGAAUAAGCACCGGCUAACUUCGUGCC
rnacentral:rRNA from 1 species